rnacentral:rRNA from 1 species
UACGGAGGGGGCUAGCGUUGUUCGGAAUUACUGGGCGUAAAGCGCGCGUAGGCGGACCUGCAAGUCGGGGGUGAAAGCCCGAGGCUCAACCUCGGAACUGCCUUCGAUACUGCGGGUCUCGAGUCCGGGAGAGGUGAGUGGAAUUCCUAGUGUAGAGGUGAAAUUCGUAGAUAUUAGGAAGAACACCAGUGGCGAAGGCGGCCCCCUGGACCGGUACUGACGCUGAGGCGCGAAAGCGUGGGCAGCAACGGG